GUUAGUGAUUAUGAUGAUGAUUAGCAAGAUAUCCUGGUAGUAAGUAAGCAGGAAAAAAAGAAGUCAGUGUUUUCUGUGCCAAACAAGGGUGUGCCCAGUUUCAGUCAGGUUCACCAACUGGGUGAAUGACAGGGAGCUGCCUAGAAAAAACUUCAGAUCUGCUUCACCACUCAGGAACAGUCAGAGGUAUUUGUCUCCCCCUCUAGCAUGUGAGCUUCAAUGAAGGCAGAGACCUUGUCUCCUAUCUUCCUUGAUACAGUACAGCCCCUGCCCUCCGCACAGUGACUGACACACACCAACAGAAUGUGGGCAGAAGUGAUGUGCUAGUUCUGAGCCAAGCUGUAAGGAAACCUUCCAUGUAUCUGCUCACCUCCUUGUGCUUCAGCUAUUCACCAUGAAAGGAACAUACCUGAGCUGUUGCGGAGCCAAAGAGGGUGAAAGACACAUAGAAGAAGCAUGUGGAAUAUGCUGGAACUCAUCAGCAACCAGAGGCCAAGCCCCAGAUGAUUCCAGCAGAGCUACAGUUCACUCUAGACUAAUAAACAAGAAAAUAGAUGUUUGUGGUUGGCUUUUAACAACUAAAUUGAAACAUGAUUCACAUACCAUAAAAUUCACCCAUUCAAAUAAUACUAUCCAAUUUUUUUUGGCAGAUUCAUGCAGCCAUCACUAUAAUCAAUUUUAGAACAUUUUCAUCACCCCAAAAGAAAAUUGCAUAUUCAAUACAUUAGCAGUCUUUUCCCAUUUCCCUGUUCACUGUUAUACAGCGUUAUUGUAGUGACAGCUGACAUAUAUAUAUAUAUACACACACACACAAGAUAUUAGAAAUGCAUCCAAUGUUAGCAAGCUCAAAUUUCACAUUCUUCUUAAUAGAAAUCCAGGAUAAGAAAGGUUUGUGUGCACACAUCUACACAGACUUCCCUAUACACAUUCACACAAUCCUACACAUGCUUAGACACACAUCCACUUCUACAAACGUUUCACACACCCACAGUCAGACACAGACUCACACUCAUGUUUAGUGAUACAAAGAUUCAUAUAUAGACUCAUCCACACACAUUCACAAUUACAUACUUGUAGACAUACACACUCACACAGCAAUUUCCCAACCCUGUCAUUUAAAUAACUCAUGACAUUUUUUCUAUAUCUACAUAUCACAUAUGCUUUUAUUUCCUUAUUUUUUUCCUUUGAAUGACUCACAUUUUUAUUUAAAUAAACUGGUUUUUAAAAGAAAGUGCUAUAAAUGGAGGGUCCUCAUCUUUCCCAUUAGCUCUUGACCUUUCUUUCCACCAAACCCAAGCAUAUCUACUAUAAGUGGAAGAGGGGACUGGGUGUCACCACCUUCAGGAAGCCCCUGACCACGCAGUUCACAUAUCUUGCACUUAGAAAGACCUCCUGCUUACUUUAGUGCUCUACUCUCAGCAUCUUGGAAUUCUUAAUACUGUAUUAACUAUAAUUAUAAUGCAUUUUCAUUUUGCCUUGGAAAACACAAAGUCUGUAGCCUCUUCUGCCCUUGAGCACACAGAAUAUCCCAGCCUCGGAGACAUUCAGGGCUCCCUCCAUUGGAGAAGCUGACCCAGGGCAGGUCACAUGUGACACAGCCCGGACCUUGGAGUGCCAACAGGUAGAAGUUCGAAUCUCAGCCCUAUUUACCAGCUGGGUAACCUUGGGCAGGUUACCUACCCUGACAGAGCACCCAGGACAAGAGUACAAAUGGAGGCCCAUGUGUCUAAAAGUCUUCAUGGUAAAAAUCAAGCUCACAAAUUUGUCAAAUAAAACAUGUUCUAACCUCUUAUUUUAAAAAAUAUAUGUUCAUUAAAAUAGUCAAAAUAUACAUGUAAAGCUAUGUUUUUUAUAUGUCUGAAAAUUGGCAAAAUAUCAAAGACGAUGGAACUAAAUUAUGUUGUAUUGAUGUAACAGUGAUAUCUAAAUGAGAAACUUUUAAACAGUAUAAUUAAGAAAUUUCUAUGUAUUUAUUCCAUAAAAUUUGUUUUUAUUGCCUUCAUUUUAGCAAAAUCACUCACACUGGUUUUUUUCUUUUUCUGGCCAUGCCACUGAGCAUGCAGGAUCUUAGUUCCCCAGCUGGGGAUCAAGCCCAGGCCCCUUGCAGCGGAAGUGUAGAGUCUUAACC
ensembl:lncRNA